GAUAAACGCUGGCGGCGUGCAUAACACAUGCAAGUCGAACGAUGAAGCUUAAAUGAUCUCUUCGGAGUGACUCUAAGUGGAUUAGUGGCGGACGGGUGAGUAACGCGUGAGUAACCUGCCUUGCACAAGGGGAUAGCCGUUGGAAACGACGAAUAAUACCCUAUGAUAUAAACUCUUCGCAUGAAGAGCUUAUCAAAGAUUUAUCGGUGUAAGAUGGACUCGCGUCUGAUUAGCUAGUUGGUGGGGUAACUGCUCACCAAGGCAACGAUCAGUAGCCGGCGUGAGGGAGUGUACGGCCACAUUGGGACUGAGACACGGCCCAGACUCCUACGGGAGGCAGCAGUGGGGAAUUUUGCACAAUGGGGACAACCCUGAUGCAGCGACGCCGCGUGAUUUAGAAGGCCUUCGGGUUGUAAAAAUCUUUUGUAUGGGAAGAAAAUGACAGUACCAUACGAAUAAGGACCGGCUAAUUACGUGCCAGCCGCCGCCGUAA
rnacentral:rRNA from 1 species